GCUAGGGCGCCGGGAGAGUUCCCUAGUGGCAGCGCGCUGGCCCUGGGCUCUGGACUCCCACCUGGAACCCUCUCCAGGGACGCGGCGGAGGCGGGAAGGCGGGCGAUGGAGAGCGGGGAAGACCAGAGACAGGGUCUUGCCAUGUUGUCCAGGCUGGUCUUGAACUCCUGGCCUCAAGAAAUCUUCCCAUCUCAGCUUCCCAAAAAGCUGGGAUUACAGGCAUGAGCCACCACACCUGGCUGGAAAGGCUUCCGGUCUGUUGCUCAGAUUGGCCUCAGAAACUCCUGGGCUGAAGCUAUCUCGCCUCCCGAGUAGCUGGGAUCACAGGCACGUGCCACACUGCCCAACUUAAACUCUGUCCUUUUUACAAAGACCGAAUGACAGGGAGCUGCUCAGGUGGCUUGGUCUCCUACGGAAGGCAAAGCGUGAUCAUGAUCCUGUCAAGAAUGAGUUAUCUGCAUCCAGUUCCCCCAAAUGUAGCUAACUGCCCAAAUUCCUGCUCCCUCCAGGCUACCGAGCAAGAUCAUCAGCAAGGUUACACAGGGUUAGCUCUCCGCCCCUGAGCAAGACUUUGUCAGGACAAGGGCUUCGUAAAGCACAGAAGACUUGAAUUUUACCUGCGUGGGGAGGCCGAGGCAGGAAGAUGGCUUGAGCCCAGGAUUUUGAGGCUGGCGCUAUGCUCAUGUCUGUGAAUAGCCACUGCACUCCAGCCUGGGCAGCAUGUCAAGACCCCAUCUCUGGGGGGGGGAGGGGGAAGAGAGAAGACAUAAAUUUACCCCAAGGGAGUCUAGUAUUGAAAGUCGGAGCUGACUUUAAAAACCAAAACACAGUUGUCCCUGAAUAUUCUAGGCUUUUUGGAUAGCUCUCCAAGAAUCUGUCACUCGUAAGUUUAAAUACAUGCUGAGAGUUAAAAGCUAUGAUGUUCGGUUGUGUGUGUACUAGUGAAUUGAUAAAGCUUUUCACUCGAGUCAGUAGGCUAUAAAUUAGGUCCAAAGAGACUUACAAAAUCCACUGUUGUCUGUUGACAGCAUUUCAUGCAUACCCCUUGCUAUGCCUAAGAAUGCCCGUUACUGUCGUUGCUUCUACACACAAUACAGGCUCCCUCCACUCGAGCAGAGUGGGCAGUGGCCACAGGACAUGGAUUUUAUUCCCUCCAUGAUCAGAGCAUCCGGUAGUGCUUGGCUUCUUUCAGUUUAAUGAAGCCUUUAACAAGUGGUUGCAAGCUGUACCAGAGGGAGACAAUCCUCACAGCCGUCCUCAGGUGUUCCUGACGUAAGUCUGCCGUUGCGUCUGUGGCCUGCUGCCCUAGCUGUAGGGUUUCUCAGCAGGUUGUUGUGUCUUGUCCCCAGAGCACUACUAGUCUACUCUGCAGCGCUGGGAAGCCUGCUUCAGUGGGCUGCCCAUGUCUGCUAAACUGGAACAGUGCCCUCCUUGGGGUUUACCAGUACUGAUUUCACUCAGGCUGUUACAAUACACACGCCUCGUGGGCCCCUCACACACAACUAGCCGAACAGUAGACUGAGUUCUAACUAAAUGGGAGAUUGGGUAUAUUAACACCUACGAUGAUGUGCACCUCUAACCUAACCGGAGAUGGGCCAACACCACAGCUACACACGGGCGCACUCACAUGCACUCCUAGCCAGCCUUCUAACCUAACAGGAGACAGUCCAAGUUAACAUUUACAACUAGCCAGCCUCCUAAGGUAGGCCAAGUUCACAUGCAAGUAACUGGACUUUCUGUUUUAAGAUGGAGUCUCACUCUAUCACCCAGGCUGGAGUGCAGUGACACGAUCUUGGCUCAUGGUAACCUCUGCCUCCUGGGUUCAAGCAAUUCUGCCUCAGCCUCCUGAGUAGCUGGGAUCACAGGUCCGUCACCACAUCCGGCUAAUUUUUGUAUUUUUAGUAGAGAUGGGGUUUCACCAUGUUAGCUGGUCUGAACUCCUGACCUCAGGUGAUCCUUGCUGUCCUUUUAACCUAACAGAUGGGCUGCCAUUGGUAACCUCACUUGAAAGCAACUGCCAUGUAUACACACACACACACACACACACACACACACACACGACUUGUAACCUAAUUUGAAAGCAGCUGAGCUGAGAACACCCAAGACCAGCCAGCCUUCCAGCCUAACUGUAGAUAGGUUAACACACACAACUAGCUUAGCUAAGCUUGUUACCUAACUGGAGAUAGGGUUUUCUGGCAGAUGGUUAUCCCCCAAACCCUGUUCCCCGAAUUCAUUCCCCCAUCCCCCCAAACCCUCUUCCCCCAUUUCACACCCCCAUUCCCACAGACCCUCUUCCCCCAACCCCAAAACCACCCCCGAUUCUUUUGUAAAGGGAUAGGCCAAGAGCACCACCACUAGCUGGUACUUGUAUCUGGAGACAGGAUGGGCGGUAGCGGGUGAGCUGACCUAAAGGGACAGGGAGAACUGCACAGGACUCGCUAGCCUCCCACCCUACUCAGAGGUGGGCGAGCCGGCACCGGCCAGCGGAAGGAAUCCCGCAAAGUCCAAGAACGCCGCUUGCUGCAGCCACUUUUCCGACCAGAUGGGUGGCUCUUAACAGAGCCUUUGAGGCGAGUCGCGCAGCCUCAGGUGGUGUGACGGCCCUCCCAGGCCCGCUCCCCGCGGAUACGGCGCACCAGCUGGAUGUCCCUGGGCAUCAUGGUGAUCCGCUGGGCGUGAAUGGCACACAGGUUGGUGUCCCCGAGCAGCCCCACCGGGUAGGCCUCGCAGGCCUGCAGCGCCAUCACGGCCGAGCUCUGGAAGCGUGGAUCAGCCGCUGGAAGGGCAGCUUGUGGAGCAGCAGCUCAGUGGACUUCGGGAAGCAGCGGAUCUCGCACAGCGCCACUGUCCCGGGUCGGUAGCGGUGCUUGGUUCGGGCCAUGGAGCCAACACCUCCCUGCGGCCGCUUCUACCCAGACUGCCCAGCCCUCAGCGAGUUGCCUGCUUUUAUAUCGCUUACCACAUUCCCAUUGGCCGGCCUCAGGCGGCGUGAUGGCCCGCUGCUCUCUGAUUGGCCCACAGGGUGCUCCCACCGACCGCCUCUCCCUUAUAUUUGCACCUGUUGGUCGCAGCCACCAGACCUGGCACCCGUCUUUUGAAGGGCAGAUGUGGGUAGGCCAGGUGAUGAGGAUCGUCUCUCUUCAGCACAAGCGUCCUCGUGUUUUCUCUGCGCCCCUCUUCUCCCUUCCCCAUCACCUGGUAGGAAGAGACUUCCAGAAGCCAGCACGUGGCAUUCCACUUUAUUUUGUAUUUAUUUAUUUAUUUUUUCUUGGAGACAGAGUCUCAUUCUUGUUGCCCAGGCUGGAGUGCAAUGGCGUGAUCUCUGCUCACUUGCAACCUCUGCCUCCUGGGUUCAAGCAGUUCUCCUGUCUCAGCCUCCUGAGUAGCUGGGAUUACAGGCACCCGCCACCACACUGGGCUAAUUUUUUGUAUUUUUAUUAGAGACGGGGUUUCACCAUGUUGACCAGGCUGGUUUCAAACUCCUGAGCUCAGGUGACACACCCACCUUGGCCUCCCAUAGAGCUGGGAUUACAGAGGUGAGCCAGCACGCCCACCACCAUGCUUCUUGUACAGCCUGGAAGACCAUAAGCCAAAUAAACCCUUUUUGUUUUUUAAAUAAAUCAUCCAGCCCCAGACUAAGACAGAAGCCAAGGGAAAUCUAUACAAACAAACUUGCAAGGCCUGUGGUCUUAUCAAAUCUCAGAACUAACUAGUGUUUGUCCACCUCUGUAUAUAAGUGGCUCUAACUGCCUAUUUGCAUCAUUUUCUUACAAGGGUUCCCAUGCCACAUUAAAUUUGUAUUAAAUAAAUGUGUGUUUUUCUCCUGCUUAUCUGUCUAAUGCCAGUCUAAUUCUUGGGCCCAGCCUGGACCCUAAACGAUGAAGGUGGAAUUCUGCCUUCCCUACAGCACCCAUUGUCUUGGUCUGUUUUGCGUUGCUGUAAAGGAAUACCAGAGGCUGGGUAAUUUGUCAAAACAUUUUUGGCUUAUGGUUCUGCAGGCUGUGCAAGAGGCAAGUGAGGGAUCUGUGAGGAUCACUCCCGUGUGAGGUCCCUAGGAAAUGGGCCUUGCCAUACGGUGAGCUUGAACCUGGACACAGAUCCCCAGUUGGGGGAGUCGAGCUGAGGGAAAGCAGGAACCGAGAAAGGGAAUAUGCUAUUCAAAAUAGUUAACAGACAUUACUUUAUGGAUAUGAGGACUUGGGAGGCAUUAUGUCCACUUUCAGCUUCUUAUGGUUUUAUUGCUUGAUUGUGUUCAUUUUGGACCCUUGUUACCUUCAUUGUAAAAUAUUAACUUAAGUAUUUACACUUGGUAACUUACCGUAACUUACUGGGUGUAACUGUAAUUUACCGUAACUUACUGGGCGUAACUGUAACUUGCUUACAAUUGUUAAGUACUUACUGGGCGUAAUUUACCGUAACUUACUGGGCGUAACUGACUUACUGGGCUUAACUUACUUACUGGGCGUAACUUAGUGGGCGCCCAGUUACAAGCAAGUAAGUAACUUGCUUACUGUAACUUAAGUAUGUUGAUCUGGCGUAAACAACAUCAACUUCAGAAAAGUAUAUAAUGAAACGUAUUGCAAAAAUAAAAUUGCUGCUUGGACAUAGCCUAAGCCAGCCCUCCAGACUCCGCUUUUCUAUUUUCUUUCACUUCCGCACUCUCUCCCUCGGGUUGAAUGAGACAUCUACGUUGGCGGUCUCGGGGACUCCUGCAGGGCCAUCAGAUACCCAUUUGGCAUCUACUGUGUGCCCGGCGUAACUGUUCGUACACUUGGGGUCAACGCGUCAGAUGAAAACGUGCCUCCCCAGAGCUUGCAAUUUCGUGGAGGAGGCGGUGAGGAGACGGAUUCUCCCUGUGCUGCCAGGCUGGCCUCCAACACCUGGGUUCUAGCAAUCCUCCCACCUCAGCCUCUGAUUACAGGCGUGAGCCACGACUGGCCCUCCCCGAUUGGGUGGACUCGGUGGUCAGCGGAAACUUGAUGGCGAGAGCGCGGCGGUCAAGCUGGCUUCUCCUGGGCGCUCUGCCGAGGAUGCCUGUGCAGCCUCCGGGGUCGCGGCGUCUUGGGCCUGGAAGGUGGGUGACAGCGGAUCCUGUUUUUCUGUGGCCGUGGGCGCCUCAACACUGCCGUCUGGGCCUUCAAAGCCUUCGCUUUGGCUUCGGUUUUAGGAGGAUCAGGAGCUUCUGUGCUUUCAGUGCCAUGUUGUGAAAAGCUCCUUUACUUUCUUAAAAAACUUGCGUUCACUUUAUGGAUUCACCCUGAAUUCUUUCUUGCGUGAGAUCCAAGAACCCUCUCUUGGCGUCUGGAUCGAGACCCUUUCUGGUAACAGCUCCUCAGUAAAGCUGGGAAAAAAUAAAAAUAGACCAAUAAAGCAUUCUCAACAACAAA